UAAAGAGUACCUAAUUAUUUUUAAUGAUUAGGUGUCACAAAAUAGGGGGUUGCGACUGUUUAAUAAAAACUUAGGACUCUGCUAAAUGGUAACAUGAUGUAUAGGGUCUGACACCUGCCCGGUGCUGGAAGAUUAAUAGGAGAUGUUUAAGCAUUAAAUGGAAGUCCCAGUAAACGGCGGCCGUAACUCUGACGGUCCUAAGGUAGCGAAAUUCCUUGUCGGGUAAGUUCCGACCUGCAUGAAUGGUGUAACGACAUCCCCGCUGUCUCCAAUAUAGACUCAGUGAAUUUGAAUUAUCCGUGAAGAUGCGGAUUUUCUAUAGUUAGACGGAAAGACCCCGUGAACCUUUACUACAUCUUUAUAUUGUUAUUUUAUCUAAUAUGUGUAGCAUAAGUGGGAAUCUUUGAAACCUUCACGCUAGUGAAUUGUUUAGAUAAUCUUGAAAUACCACUCUUAUUAAAAUAAAUAACUAAUAUUUUUAAAAAUAAACAUUGUAUGGUUGGUAGUUUGACUGGGGCGGUCACCUCCUAAAGAGUAACGGAGGUGUACAAAGGUAAGCUCAAAUUGGAUAAUAUUAUCAAUUGUAGAGCGUAAUGGUAAAAGCUUGCUUGACUGUAAGAUAGACAUAUCAAACAGGGACGAAAGUCGGUCAUAGUGAUCCGAUAAUUCUUUGUGGAAAGAUUAUCGCUCAACGGAUAAAAGGUACUCCGGGGAUAACAGGCUGAUGACUCCUAAGAGCUCCUAUCGACGGAGUCGUUUGGCACCUCGAUGUCGACUCAUCACAUCCUGGAGCUGAAGAAGGUUCCAAGGGUUCGGCUGUUCGCCGAUUAAAGUGGUACGUGAGUUGGGUUUAGAACGUCGUGAGACAGUUUGGUUCCUAUCUUCUAUAGAUAUUUUGAAAAAUGAAAGAAUCUAMCUCUAGUACGAGAGGACCGAGAAGGGUAAAUCUCUGGUGUAUCGGUUGUUUUUUAAAGCAUCGCCGAGUAGCUAAAUUUAUUUUGGAUAAUUACUGAAAGCAUCUAAGUAAGAAACCAUUCUUAAAAUUUUUUCAUAUGAAAACUGUAAAAGACUAUUACAUUAAUAGGUUUUAAGUGUAAGUAUUGUAAAGUAUUUAGCUUAAAAAUACUAAAAGUUUCAAAAUUUUUAAAUA
rnacentral:rRNA from 1 species